rnacentral:other from 1 species
UCCCCCCUGCCGGGUUAGUGAUCUGUCGGUAUAUUUAGAACCAACACUCUAAAUGAGGGAGCCUUCAUUGGCUCGCGUACGGCACGUCCCCCUGCGGGAAAGCCGGAAACAUGCCACAGGGCGCCCACCUGUCUCUGACAGGUUCAAAUUACAGUCGACACGGCCCGCGCGGGGGGGAU